GGGGGCCCCCCGUACCACUAGACCAUCAGUCGAAGAAGGAGUUAUGGCACCCACAGUUGUAAUGAACUCUGAUCGUAAGGAGAAAGGGCUGCUGUUUCACAGAGAAGAAGUAGGGUACGUGUGGCCCCAGGUCAUCCACUAGCCUCUUCUGCUGUGCCCAGCCCUGACAAGAUGCAUAAGCUUAAAGGCAUGGUGACCCUGGACUCAGACCCAUAGAGGUGGGUUAAUGCAUGAGGCAAGCCACCUAGAUGGGUGAUGCUAGCCAAGAGAGGGGAGGAGAGCGAUCCUGGAGCAUGGGGGACACAGGAGAUGAUGAGUCUCGGUCACUUUGGGGACCAGUGGCGGUGUGAGAGCUGGAGGGAGUCCCGCUAAACCUCUCUAGGAUGUUUCCUCGGGAGCUGUGAUCAAGCAGAGUCUUGGAGGGGCUGUGCCUGGGGGAACUGACCUUAAUGUGAGAAGCCUGGGUACCUGAGCAGGAGGGAGUGUUAAGGUUAUAGAUGCUGUUUGAGCCUCCAGGAUCCUCUUUCCUGGGCCUGUGCGCCCUUUUCUCAUGGCUUCUCCCUUCGCUACAGAAUUAAGUUCUAAGGAUUGGAAGCCACAUCAUCGAGGGUGUUAGGCACCUCCUCCUGCCCUCUCCCCCGACCCCAACCACUCUCCCCGACUCCUCAUACCUCAGCCAAUGAUCCCCUGACACAGAAUUACAAAAGCAUCACGCUUUGUUGUCAAGGUGGGACAUUGUUAAGGGGGGAUUCACACUCCAGAGCUCACAUGGGGUCAGGCUGAAGGUGGGCCCCAGUGGAGAUGACAGCCUUGCUUAGCUCCUCUCUUGUCAAAUCCUGUUCACCUCAUUCUUUUUCUCCUAAGUGCACCCUCAUCCCCAUUUCUGUUCCUAGGCACCAGCCUUCAAGUCAACCCCAUCCUCUCCAGGGAGGGCAUCCUGCAAGGCCCUUUAUGUGAAUUAUCUCGCAUGAUCUCUGGUUAAACCUGUGAGAUAACAUCCUCAGGUACCUUUAUUAUUAAGCUGAAGAAACCAAGGCUCAGAGUAGUUCAGUAAGUUGGUGAAAGUUACACAGCUCAUACUCAAGUCUGAGUCUACCUCCAAUGCCCCUGGCUCUCACCCUUAUUCAUUCCCGCAGAAGAAACAGAAAUAGUAUGGCUUAAUACCAGAGGAAUAGUGGUAAACCCUGUCACUGAGGACAUGGCCUGGGUAAGGAGAGUUAAAGAAGAGAAGGCGCUGGAGAGGCCCCAGGGAGGCAAGACUAAGAUGUGUGAACCCCCGAUAUGCCGUCAAUCAAGAGAACACCUCAGUCAGGUAACCUCCCAGUCCCUGACAGCGCCCACACCACGGCUGAGGGUAAACAUCAGAGACGGAGCACGGAAAAGUCCUACAGCUGGAGGCAAGUAAAACAGAAGGACCCUUGAGUUUCCAUCCAACCCAGUACCUUGACGAUCAUGAGGAGGAUUCCAGGGCUCCUUGUAAAUUGCUUAAUCCCAUAAGGACCCGUCUGACAGCCUCAAGUCUGAGUCACUGCAGGACCACUGGUCCAAACCUGGGCCAACAUUUACAAUGAAAGGCCCUGCGUGCUCUGUCUCCAUGGGGAUCCCAGAGGACAGAGAGAGAGGGAUCCGGCUUCCCUCCAAGAGCAACGCGUGUAAGUGUCGCGUUUUCUUCCAUCUGAACAUGGAAGGAGUCCUUCCUCAUUCAGGGAGGGGUUCAGAAGAGUAAGCGCUAAUAACAAUGGUGCCGGCGACAGUAACAAUUCUCACUACACGCCAGAUACUGCUCCAAGCAGUUUGCAUGACAAACUCAUUUGAUUUUAUAACUAUCAGGUAAGUAGGUACGAUUAUUAUAUCCAUUUUAACAAUGAAGCAAGUGGGGCAUAGACAGUGAAGCGUGGUCUUUCAGUAAUGCACAGUAGAGUUUUCCAGAGGCAACGUGAUGUGUGAAAUUACAAUAGACUGAAUGCAGAAGCAGAUAUGAGAGUCAGUGUUCUUCUGUUAAAACAAACAUUAAGUAAAUUGCUUUCUUUCUCAUAACUGCUUUGCAGAAAGUUAUAGUUAUUUUCAUAAAAAUAUAUUAUUGAUAUCAAAAUGUAAUGAUUUUUAAUGAUUAUUAGUUCAUUGAAAAACCUUCAAAAAUCAUCCUCAGUUUAGGCUCUAAUGUGUUAAAUAUCAAUUGACAGAAUCCACGUAAAUUUUUGAGGUCUAUAGUUCUAAGAGUGCAAAGGUGUUCUGAAACCAAAAAGUUUGAGAAUCUUUACCUGAUUCCAUUCUUUAAUCCAGAAUACCUCCCAUGCUUUCAUUUUAGCAAAAUACAAUUUGAGAAAUAAAACCUGUGGCAUGUUCACUGGUGCUUGGUCAAAUGUUUUGUCCUGAUUAUUAAUUAGCUCAGCUGUCACUGGUCCUUCAAGAUGGACUGUCUCCCUUCCCCUCUGGAGAUGACUCCUCCCUGAAUAACUAAGUAUUGAAGAUACUGAGAGAAGCUGGCAUUUACACAUUAGGAAUGUUACCUGCUCUGUUGGACUCAGAGGGUUGGGGAGAUAGUGAGAGGAGUGGAGGCUGGAGAAAGAGUUCAAUAUUCACAUGGAAGAGGAGGGUCUCUACUCCAGGUCUGGGUGUGACCUUGGCUGCUGUGGAAGGGCAGGAGGCAGAGGAAGUUGGACAUGCUUUUCCCCAAUGACCCUGCUCCUGUCAUCCGUCUCAGAAUUGGUUGUGGGGGGAAAAUGCUACACCACACCGUCUCCUCCUUUGGAGUGACCAAGAUUUAGGUUAACCUCAGCUUAAGAGCAUGAUUGAAAGGAAAUGGGGAAUUGUUUUGGGAAACAAAAACCCUUAAAAACAGAAAAGUGAUGACCCCGAUUAAUAGAAGGGGCAUUUUUCUUUUUCUAUAGCUGCACAGUUUCUCAGAUCUUUCUGUUAAGAUGAAUCUUUUGAAUAGAUUGAUGUUCUUGGGGAAGAACAUCUACCUCAAUGGUUGCAUACUCAAGUAUAAUUAAAUGAUUAAAUGUGGAGUCAUGCGGUUAGUGUUUCUCGAGGAUAUGUUUACCACUGUAUCUGCAAAGGCUAGAGCGAUUCCUGGCACAUGGAGGUACUCAGAAAAGACUUGCUGAGUGGAAAGCAGGAAAGAAGAAGAAAGAAGGCAGGCAGGGAGAGUGGGAGGAAGGGAUGUAAGGAAGGGUUUCUUCUUUCUGGCUGAUCAGUUUUAGAAGUUCCACUUGUGAUACUAUUCCAUUAAAACACAAACUGGAGAUAAGAAAAAAAAUCAGUUUUUUCCUACUAAACUUAUAGAACCCAAACCAUUUCCUUAAGAGAAGAACUGUGCUUAUGGAAUGAUAACAUGUUCCUAAAGAAAAAUGAUCCCUUGUGCAAAAGCGCGCACCCACUGGCUGACUAAGGGGAUGUGAUGCUUUCCCUACGGCAAAUUCAGAAACAUGGGACUCUCCGACCCGGCCCUAGUCUGGUGGAUGCUUCCUUCUGCCACGGUGGCAUCGUAACUGAGUCCCGUUGUAUUUGGGCUCCUCCUCUCCUAAAACGGUUUACUUCUGCCUGCUCCUUAACGACAGGGGUUGAAAGGAAAUGUGUGGAUUCAGAAAAAAAAAACAAUACACCUCAGAGCCACCUUUAAAUGUAUUUUCCCAAGGCAUAGCAAAUAUCCUCGGAAUUUGUUGUGAAAAUCUGACCACAUCCUAGUUAGCAUGAGGUUAAAAUUAACUGUAACAUGUGUUUUAGGGAUCUCAAUUUGCAAAAUAUUAAUAGAGUUCAUGGGCAGUUAACUGCAAUAAAGGGAGGAAAUGAAGUUUAUAGUGUGAGGCCCUGGGGAUGACAGCCUUCCAUACCCCUGAGCACGUUUGGAUCCCAGAACUCGCUGCGAGGUGGAGGCCAUAGAGGGAAGAUGGCGGGAAAGCUCAAGGUUAACUUCAUGGGGCUCCUUCUCUUGCCUCCUAGGAGGGUGCAGUGCCUUGGAGGCAGCCUCACCCAGGCCUGGCUCCUUCCUGCUUAUUCUGGAACCUUGUGAUUCAGCCAGAACUGCCAAAGCAGAGACCCUGAGCAAGACCCACAGCCGCUGGAACAUCAGGAGAGAGCUCUGACCCACGCCGUAUAAUUUCUCUGAAGAGAUUCUUGGGUAGUAGAAGAGAGGCCAGGUCAUGGAAUAAACAUUGGCUCAUAACCCAGUUUGCACGGAGGGCUAUUCAGUGCCCAGUCAUCCCCAAGAGAACCACACAUGAGAAUUCACCGCACAGAAAUAUUUAAGACAUAUUUGAGAAGGCACCCAAAUGGUGAAUUCAUCUGCAGGCAUUCUUUCUCCCUUUGAAGAAAUCCACAAAAGAAAGAGCAAAAUGCUGACAAGUUUUCAAAGCCGUGAUUUACAGGAAUGAUUUCCGAAAAGCAAGCGGACAUGCGAGUUCAUCAUCAAAUAAUAUUUCUAAAGCACCCUCUAGUGCCUGGCCCCAAGCCAGAUGAUUCAAUGCCUGGAGAGGCUGCAAACUGUUUUUAAAGGAAAAUGGACUCUCAUGUUGGCUCCUGAGAAAAAAGUCUGCACCAUUUAGGAUUCCUCAGGACUCUCUCUAAAUAAGUAUUAGGAAUGGAUUGCUUUAGAAAAAAAAAUCAAUGCAAUUAGAAACCAUAAUACUAUUAAAUGUAACUCAAAUCCCAGUUUGAAAUAGAUAUUAAGACUUUAAAGAACAGUCAAAAAUUACACCUGGAAUCUGAAGAAUUUGAAAUCUAAGCGAAUCACAGGGCAGGAAAAUCUGCUCUGUAAGUGAAAAAGUUUUGAGCCUGAGAAAAGGUAAAAAUUGCAUGAAUACAUAGGUGUCAUGUAGUAGGAAUGCUAGACCCACCUGUCAUCUGAUUUUGCUGUGACUGGUACCAGCGGACAGUGUUCACCCAGCAGAUUCUCCAGUGGUGUAGUGGAACAACUACUACAGUAUGUAGAACCAGAAGACUCAUGGUCUAGGGUCAACUCUACUACAUACUUAGCUAUUUGGAACAUGUCACUUAAAAUUAAUGACCCUAAUUUCUUCACUUGUAAAAUAAUGAUAAUUCUGCCAACUUUGUGGAAUGGUUUAGACUUUAGAGAUUAAGUAAGAUACAAUGGACCAGUUCCUUGAACGCAGUACUUGCCCACAAACUGUCAAAGCUUUUUCUACUUGUCUGAUCGAUUUGGUAUUCAGUAGUUUUAUGAUAUGUGUUCAGUAUGACUCUUGCACAUGUCUCCUCAAAGGAAGUUUCACUCUCCUCCCUCAUCAUUCCCAUGUCUCUGAAAACAGGAUCACAUUUUAUAUUCUCAUAUUGAAGUAGCAGAGUCAGUUCCUGCAUAGGCUAGUUGACUUUAAAGAUAAAUGCCUAAUUAUUGAUUGAAUGAUUGAUUGAUCAAUUCAUUCAUUCAUUUCACUCUCAACUUGUAAAUAUAGACUGGCCCCUUCACUAACUGGGGCCUUAUUAACAAGAUGGAUUAGAUGCUUUCAUCAUAUGCAAAAGAUCUUUGUAGGCACGGGAAUAAAGAAUACUGAGUCAUUUUAAGAAGUCACUUUGAAAAUGACUUUUGAACAUAGAAGAACUGGGCUUGUUCAAGCAAAUUAUAUUUCAAAGUUUUAUUUGCAAGGUUAUUUAUUACUGUGUGGAAUCUCACUCCUGUGGCUAGGGUCAAGGAAAAUGGGGACACAGGUGUCUGCCUAUUUGCACAGGCAUUAAAGAGUGUUGUAAAAUGAGCUUCAGCCUUUUAAGUUACUGUCUUUUCCUUUAUAAUAAUAAUCUCUUCAAUUUUACAAGGUCUAUAUUAUUUUUAGGUAAGAAAACACUGUAGAGUUCAUGUUUUAUUGUUCCUUGCAGUUAUAUAAAUUAUGUUUGGCCAAAACAAAUGUAAUUCCUACUGUGUGAACUGGGAACCCGAAAUGUUGAUUUUCCUCAAGUUAUAAACAAUGUGAAGAUAUGUUAUACUGGGUCACAAUUUUCCAGAGCAGAGCAAAAUAUAUAACUCAGUUUUAAUAACAAAACUGCAUAUAUCAUUAAAGUUUCCUACUCCACACAGAAUGUAUUAUAUUACUCUGCCCAGCAAGAGACAUCCUUUGUGUAGACCACAAUUUCUAAAAUACCAUUUGAUUGAAUGGAAAACAUUUUAGCCAUUUGUUAGUUUAAAAAAAAAUGUAAUAGUUAAAUGCUCAUGGAAAUUCUGCUUUGUCUUUGCUGGGUAAAUAUUACAUUUCUUCUCACUAAAUUUGAAUGCCAUGGAUUUUGUAAACAACAAGGUCUAGGGGACAACUAUUAUGAGCCUUUUCCCACUAUUAGAUGAGUCUUCACAUUUUUAGCAUCUUAGAAGCAGAUGUCUGCUUCUUGGUCACACCAAUGAACCUUAUUUAUACAUGUAUUACAUCAACUUGAAGCUGCAUUGUAAUUAUUUACUUAUAAGCGUGCCUGUCCAAAUUGACUUGUAACUCAACAGGCCAGGGUCCUGACUGCAUUAUUCUCUAUUCUUGGCUCCUGGUCCAAUGCCUUCUAGAGUUGGGGCACUAAAAAUGUUAAAUGAAGUAGAAAUGCUGGAAAAACUACCACCAAAUCAUCAAUUUACCCACCUACCUCUUCUUCUCAGAAAAAUUCCAAAAUUGGGGAGAUUUAUAAAUGCAACUACUUUUACAACACUGAAGAAAAUGAGGAAAGAUUAUUUCCUUCAUUUAAAAAGAGUCACAGAUGGGAUUAGCUAGUCUAGCCUUCUUAUUUCACAAAUGGGGAUUUGGGGGCCUGGAAAAAGAAAGCUUUUUUUGCUCUUGUUAAUGUCACAAAACCGGAGGCCAAACUGAUCCUAAUUGUGUUCAUAGUGUUUUGUUUGUUUGAUACAAAAAUAAUACAUGUUAAUUCUAAACAUUUUGCAAGUUCAAAAAUAUAUAAAAGAGCCAACAAUUCUAUGAAAAGAUAUUCCACAUCAGAACUUGUAACAGAAAUGCAAGUCAAAACCACAAUGAACCACCACCUCACAUCCAUCAGGAUGGCUAAUAAAAAAAGAAAUGAAAAUAACAAGUGUUGGCAAAGAUGUGGAAAAAUUGGAACCUGUGUGCAUUGUUGGUGGGAUGAAAAUACUAUGGCAAACAGUAUGCUGGUUCCUUAAAAAAUUAAAAAUAGAACUACCGUAUGAUCCAUCAAUCCCACUUCUGGGUAUAUAUUCAGAAGAAUUGAAAGCAGAGUCUUGAAGAGAUAUUUGAACACCUAUGUUCAUGGAAGCAUUAUUCACGAUGUCAAUAAGUGGAAGCAGCCCAGAAGUCCAUUGAAAGAAGGACAAAUAAAACAUCAUAUAUACAUACAAUGGAAUCAUAUUCAACCUUAAAGGAAAGAAAUUCUGUCACAUGUUACAACAUGGAUCAACCUUGAGGACACUAUGUAAGUUAAAUGUCAGUCACAAAGAGACAAAUACUGUAUGAUUCCACUUAUAUGAGGUAUCUAAAACAGUCAAGUUCAUCAAACAAAGUAGAAUACUGGCUCCCAGAGGCUUGGGGGAGAGGGAAAUGAGGAGAUGUUGUUAAAUGGGUAGAGUUUCGGUUUUGCAAAAUGAGCUGGUUCUGGUGAUCUAUUGCACAACAAUGUGAAUGUACUUAACACUACUGAACUGUACACUUAAAUAUGCUUAAGAUGGUAAAUUUGACGUUAUAUGUCUCUUGUCACAAUUAAAAAUUAAAAAUACCUAAAUGAACAGAAUUUCUAAAUACACACGGCAGCAUAAGAGAUGUGAAGGUUAACACAUUUAGUUGUCUUAUCCUGUAGUGUUUAUAUAUUUGAAAUAGCAUUGUCUAAACGAUAUGGCACCUUUUCAUUUUUGUUAUAACGAAAGUAUUUUGUUAUAACGGAAGUAUUUCUAAAACUCUCUAAAUACUAUUUGAAAGGCUGAAUAAUAUCCCUUUAUAUGAAUAAACCACAAUUUACUUAAUAAUAGCACCCAUUCAUAUUCUUCUCAUGUCUAUAAAUAAUGUUUUAUUUUCUAUUUUUGUACAUUCUUUGUUGUCUACAUGUCUGAUUCUUCCCUUUGAAUAGAGUCUCAGAACUAAAAUUAGUAGAAUGGACAUUUAAAAAUAUUUGCUACAUUUUGUUUAGUGUUGCUCCAAUAUCUUCAUAGAAACAGAACAUGCGUGCCUCUAAUUUAUCAUUCCCUCAUCUGCACAGAGUCUUCUCAUUUUUGCCUCUUAUUCAUUAUUAUUAUUGUUAUUAUUAUUAUUUUGAUAUGAAAGGAAGGAAACAGGAUUAUUUGUUAACCUACAUUUCCUUGCUUGUUAGUAAAACUGACACAAUUAAAAAUACUUUUCAGUCAUUUGUAUUUUUUUCUGUGAAUUACAUUUUUACAUUCUAAGAUAAUUGAAUGAGAUCUUUAUUUAUAAAGAAAUUUAAUUAUUUGUCUGUCACAUUUGAUUGCAAAUAUUUUUCC